AUCGCGCGGGUACCCUGUGGUGUCAAUCCAUCCAGUCAGCCGCGCAACUCCCAGGCCCCACGCAGACUCACAAGGGGAAUGUGAUUAUAAGCGUUUUUUUUUUUUGCCUCCUCUCUUUAUGCUUCAAGUAUGCAAGGCAGCUAGAAAAUAGUAUUUAAUGAGAAAAGAUGAGAAAUUAAAUGGGCCGAUUGCGGUCGAGGGCUAAACAUGUCAUGAUGAAUCCUUUUGUCUAAGAAAAAUGAGAAGAUUAGAAGCCUUACGUACGAGCCGAUAGUUAAACCUACCCGAGUGUUCGUGAAUCCGCCCGUCUCGUUUUUCCUCAACUGUAGCAGCAGCUAAAAAGAGGACUACAGACUCAACACUACUAUUCCCAUAAAGGCGUCACGAAGCUAGCUUAUAUUGCACAGGUGAAUAAUUCCAGUGAAUAAAGCAAGGACUAAAGUAUAGCCUGCUGUGGAAAGCAGAUGUAAAUAAAUGUUUUUCAUAUUCCUUUCUUGCUUAGUAUAAUUAUAUUUCAUCAACCCAUAUUCUUUCCCUUUAGCCAACAUAAUCUUCUCUUGCUCUGUUGAUACUUCCCUUAUCAAAAAAUUUUUGACCAUAUUAUUGACCAUAUUAUAAUCUCUGAUGCUUGAAGACCUAAAACAUCUUAACAAGACUUAACAUCAUUGCAAAUAAACCAAACUGAUUGCAUUAUUCUCGUGUGCAUUUAUUUCCAUAGGUAACAACAAUAAAUUCUAUUUUCAUAUGUUACAACAAUGAACGCUGGCAACACUGUUAUUAGCAAAUGUAGAUAGUCUUUUUCUUGUAAUUUUUAUAUGCAUUUGCUCAAUGUUUUGGCCCUCUUCAUGACUAAUUAGGUUUUACUUAUUCAUGAACAUGGUUCAAGAGAGACUCGUAUGUGAUAAUGGCGGGGGGGAGGGCUUUGAAUAUUUUUUAAAAUGUAAUUUUUAAAAAAUGGAUGUUUGUUAUUAGAUGAAAGAUGGAUUUUUUACAGAAUAUUUGAGAAAGGAUGGUGGAUAUGAAAAGGAUUUGAUUUAUCAAAGAUUUGUAGCUUGGUAUGCAAUAAAUAUAGUAAUUAGUAAAAAUGUAUCAAAGGGAUUAGUAUGAGGUGGUGUAGAAUUGAGGAUCCGGUAUUUUACGGUGUUGAAAGUUUCAACCUAGGUGUUAUGGGAUAUUUAAUUUUGGACUCUCUAAGGCCCCAUAGUUUAAUAAUAGAUUUGUAAAGAACACUUAAAAGGACAUGAAAACGUCUAGCACCCUUUGCAAAUCUUUAAUCAUACUACUUCGUCUAUUACCAAGUGCAACCAACCAGCCACAGCACCUCUGUCCGUACCACCAUAUUUAUAGCCUAACAUUGCCCCUUGCUUCAAGGCAACCUGAAAUUAUGUUGAGCACCUUCUGCUGUAGUAUUGACUUAUUGAACUCCGUCAUGUUUUUUAGGAGAGUUUGAGAGCUAUAUAUAAUAUCAUCUUUUCUCCUAUAUAUUCAAGGGACAUAAACUUGAGGGUCUCUUUUUUUGUAAACAUCUUUGUAGAUUCUCUGAGUAUACUAAAUAAAUAAAACAACACUAUCAUAAA